rnacentral:rRNA from 1 species
UACGAAGGGUGCAAGCGUUACUCGGAAUUACUGGGCGUAAAGCGUGCGUAGGUGGUUUGUUAAGUCUGCUGUGAAAGCCCCGGGCUCAACCUGGGAAUGGCAGUGGAUACUGGCGAGCUAGAGUGCGGUAGAGGGUAGUGGAAUUCCCGGUGUAGCGGUGAAAUGCGUAGAUAUCGGAAGGAACACCUGUGGCGAAAGCGGCUCACUGGACCAUUACUGACGCUGAGGCACGAAAGCUAGGGGAGCAAACAGG